rnacentral:misc_RNA from 1 species
GAUGAAGAACGUAGCGAAAUGCGAUAAGUAGUGUGAAUUGCAGAAUUCAGUGAACCAUCGAAUCUUUGAACGCACAUUGCGCCUUCUAGUAUUCUGGGAGGCAUGCCUGUUUGAGCGUCAUUAAACCUCUCUCAAGUAUGAUUACUUGGAUGUGAAGGAAGAGUACCUUAAACUUAAGGAGUGUUCUCCUUUGAAAUUGAUUAGCAGAUGGUAAUGUUAUUAAAUCCCUGAUGUUGUAAGAAAUAACAGUGGUUUUGUAGACUAUUAUCUAGCUUUAAAUUAUAAUUUUUAUUAUGGUUGACCUCAAAUCAGGUAAGGAUACCCGCUGAACUUAAGCAUAUCAAUAAGCGGAGGA